rnacentral:lncRNA from 1 species
GCUGUUUCACUAUUUUAUUUUUCAUUUAAGAGGUGAUAUAUUUGUCAUACAGAAAAGUGUGAAAAAGUGUAACAGAUCCCAUAUCCCAAGACCCAAAUUUAAUAAUGUUAACAUUUAGAAAAAUAUACAAAUAUCUUUUUUAAAGAAAAAUCCAAUAUAUAUAUAGAGAACAACCCAAAUUUCAAUCUUUCCCCUCCAUAUUUUUCUUCAACAGAAAGAUAUUAAAUGUUUUCAUAAAUAAUAUAUAACAUUUUAUGUAUAUUAAGCUCUGAAAAGAGUCAUGAUAAAGAAAUUAAUCAACUGUUCAUAUGUUCUUCUGGAAUUCUUAAAUUUUCAAAGAUCUUGGUAUAUAAGUACUAGAGAAAUGGUAUAUUGAUGCCAUACCAUAAUGUAAAAAAAAAAUGUCCUAUGUAGUCAAAUACCCUUUUACUGAUUUCUGAUAUACAUAUAAAUAUACACAUAUA